AUGCUUGUUUCAGCAGCACAUAGACUAAAACUGGAAUGAUACAAAGAAGAUUAGCAUGGCCCCAACGCAAGGAUGACAAAUUCAUGAAGCAUUCUAUAAUUUU